CCAAUAGCGUAUAUUAAAGUUGUUGCAGUUAAAAAGCUCGUAGUUGAAUUUCGGGAUCAAUAUAUCGGUCGUGCCAUUGGUACGUACUGGUAUCAUUGGUUUCUCCUUUCUGACGAACCAUGAUGUCAUUAAUUUGGUGUUAUGGGAAGUUAGGACUGUUACUUUGAAAAAAUUAGAGUGUUUAAAGCAGGCUUUAGCUUGAAUACAUUAGCAUGGAAUAAUGAAAUAGGACGUUUGAUCCUAUUUUGUUGGUUUCUAGGAUUGACGUAAUGAUUAAUAGGGAUAGUUGGGGGCAUUAGGAUUCAAUUGUCAGAGGUGAAAUUCUUGGAUUUAUUGAAGACUAACUACUGCGAAAGCAUUUGCCAAGGAUGUUUUCAUUAAUCAAGAACGAAAGUUAGGGGAUCGAAGACGAUCAGAUACCGUCGUAGUCUUAACCAUAAACUAUGCCGACUAGGGAUCGGAUGAUGUUAAUUUUUUAAUGACUCAUUCAGCGCCUUACG
rnacentral:rRNA from 1 species